rnacentral:lncRNA from 1 species
AAAAAAGAAGUGAAGUUUAUGGUUUGUGAGGGUUUAAGAGCAUCCAUUUUAGAUGCUCUUGUAUCCGUGAACUUCCCUUGUGGACAAAGUCAUGUGAGUACCUCGAAGUUGUAAAUAUGCCUUUACACUCCAUAAUUUAAUUUAAUGAUUUUCAAAGAACCGAAACCCGACGCGUGCAUAUUCGUUCAGUUGUCAUCUUUCCACUUCCCAAAUCUUGUGAAAAUACAAAGGGGUCUCGUUAAAAUUUUACGUGUCAAUUUUGAUGAGAAUGUAAAAUCUAAUGGCCGGAACUUCCACUCGUAUUCGCCUAUUAUUCCUAGUUGUUCUAUGCUUUUCUUACGUCAUAUGCAACAAUGGCGCGAUCCCUUUCACAAGUAACUUAUCCUUCGAUUCUCCGAGUGUUCUUCCAUGUUCAAUGUGUUUUUUUUUCUUUUUUUUUUUUUAACUUUUUGGAAUUGCAGGAAGUAGAAACCUGAUGAAGGAACCUCAAAGUUAUGAAGUUGGAAAAGUGGUACUUCUGUCGGUACUCAACCUAAUUAUUGUCUUAAUUUACUUGCAAUAUCCUUGUCCUAAAUAAUUAGUUAAAUGUGUGAUGCAGGAAAAGAUUGUGAAAAGCUGGAAAACGGAUAGUCGAAUAUUCAGAAGAAUGGAGAUUGAGGUGAACGACUAUCCGGGUUCUGGGGCGAAUAACCGCCACACACCAAGGUCACAAGCAGGAAGAAGUUGUACAAUUGAUUGCUAAACAAUGUUAAUUAAUUAAUCUUUGGGUAAUAUUUAUUAUAUUUGUUUGUUUUAAACCUGUAAACAUG